rnacentral:rRNA from 1 species
GAUGAACGCUGGCGGUAUGCUUAAUACAUGCAAGUCGAACGGACUCUUCGGAGUUAUUGUCGGCCGGGUGUGUAACGCGUGAGAAUCUGGCCUUGGGUUCGGGACAACCACUGGAAACGGUUGCUAUUACCGGAUGUGCCCAGAGGUCAAAGAGAAAUUUCCUGCAGAUGAGCUCGGGUCUGAUUAGCGAUUUGGUGAGGUAUAGACUCACCAAGGCAGCGCGAAGUAGCAGGUCUGAGAGGACGACCGGCCACACUGGCACUGAGACGCGGCCCAGACUCCUAUGGGGGGCAGCGGGGGGGAAUUUUGCGGCAAGGGCGAGUGCCUGACGAAGCAAUACCGCGUGAAAGAAGAAGGUUCUUGGGUUGAAAAACUCUGUUCGUAGGGAAGAACAAAAUGACGGUACCUAAGGAGACAGCAACGGCUAACUCCGUG